GACGAACGCUGGCGGCGUGGAUUAGGCAUGCAAGUCGAACGGUAUCAUCCUUUCGGGGGUGAGAGAGUGGCGAACUGGUGAGUAACACGUAGGUUAUCUACCCUCAAGACGGGGACAACCCAGGGAAACUUGGGCUAAUACCGGAUGUGAGCAACUUUUAGUUGUUUGAAAGGUGGCGUAAGCUGUCGCUUGGGGAUGAGCCUGCGUCCCAUUAGUUAGUUGGUGAGGUAACGGCUCACCUAGGCAAUGAUAGGUAGGCGGCCUUAACGGGUGGUCGCCCACACUGGGAUUGAGAUACGGCCCAGACUCCUACGGGAGGCAGCAGUCGAGAAUAGUCUACAAUGGUCGGAAGACUGAUAGUGCGACGCCGCGUGAACGAUGAAUCCCUUCGGGGUGUAAAGUUCUUUUAUAUGUGAGCAGUGCUUCUUAUAUUAACAGUAUGGGGAGAGAGAUAUUAGCAUAUGAAUAAGCAACGGCUAACUCCGUGCCAGCAGCCGCGGU
rnacentral:rRNA from 1 species